GUUGUUUUUGUUUGCCUUAGUCUAUUUAUUGGAUCGAUCAUGACCACACAAGAAUCGCAGGAUAUACAAGGCCUUUCAAGUUUUUGGAUGGUGCAUCUAUCUUUUUUUUUUUUUAAUAGAAAAGGUUGAUUUAUAGUUGAGAAAAAAUGAAAGCAUAAAAGAAAAAGACCCUGUGAAACCCCUCUAAAGAAAGAUUUUCUAACUACGUAACAUACUAACUCCAAGAUAAUUACAAAAAUGUCUUCAAAACUGCAGCUACACAUUGUUACUAAAUUUAAAUUGUUACUAAAAAUGAGGUAAUUUUCAAAAGUGAAAAUUUGACAAAAUAUUUACAAGCUACACGUUCUAUGAAUAACAAACAUGUGAUAGGCCAAUGAUAUUCUAUCAUUGACAUUGGAUAGUCAGUGAUAGAAGUAUCUCACUGGCAAUCAUGGAUAAAAUCCAUAAUUUUUGUUAUAGCUUGUAAAUAUUUUAAUUUAUUUUGCUAUUUUAAAAAAUGUCCCUUAAAAAUAUGUAUUAUGUAUUAUUUAAUAAAUUUUUGAUAAAUAGUUCAAAAUAUAAAAAAUGUGAAACUAUUGAAUUUAUCUUUGUUAUUAUUUUAGGGGUAGGAUCUAAAAUUUGAAUUCAAAACGUUGUUAAACAUAUUUAUUAUAAAUUAUAUAAUAAAUUGUUAAUUAAUUGAUUUAAAUAGCAAUAAUCGAAAAUAUGCUAGAGAGUACAAUCAUAUUUUUAGGAGAUGUUGGUAUCAUCUUCUCUUGCAUGAAAAUAUGAUAUUUAGUUAAGAUUUUAACAAACCUUGAUGUUUUCAAAUAUAAUGUAUUCGUGAAUCUGUGAUAUUCUGCUUCAUUUUUUUAACUUAAUGUGAAUAUGUACUCUUUCAAACCUAACUUCAAUAAACUAACGUCCAAAAUUUUAAAAUAUUAAUAAAAUAAGAUGACUAUAUUAAAGAAAAAUACCUAAAUUUUAGGAUGUCACAGUGUACGCAGUGUUUUCAACUUGUAAAUCGAUAAAAAUACACUGUAUUUGUAUAAUAAGAUUUAAACUGUAGUGAGUGGCAUAUUCAAACUUAUUCAGAUAAUGAGGAUGUAUUUAACCGUGUUAAAUUUCAACAAAUCUAAUACAUUUGUUUCAUGGGGUGAAUUUUGAGAUUUGGGUACGUUCAAAUACAAUGUAUUUCUAGCAGUACUAACAAAUACAGAGUCAACAACCAAUAUAUAUUUUCUAUUUGUUUUUGUCUCGUGUGAACUAGGGAUGACUAAUCAAGAGAAAAAGUCUUUGCGAGAAAAGUUGGUAGUUUGUGAAAGAAGUUAUGCGAUAAGACUUUGGAAAGCUGUUAAGUGGUAGGAAUUAUUCGCAUAAUGGUAUUAGGCGAGAAGAAAAGUUUGGGGAGAAGAUGUCAAAUCUGAUUUGACAAGGGCUAACGUGUAGGAAUAAGGUUUUAAGCAUGACUACAAUAAAUAGAAAUUUUACAAGUUUAAGGUUGAAGUAGGAGCUAACAAUCGGAUAAAGAACUAGGGAUGACUAAUCCAGAUUAAAAUAGUAGUAUAAUAGAGGAUUUGGGUAACUAAGUAGAGGAUGAUGAAAGUUUUGUUGAAAUGCUAAAAUGUUGUCACUUGGUCUCCAUGAGAAGAUUUUGCGUGAAGAGGAAAGUUGAAGGGUCAGUGUUUUUCUUUCAAAGUUUUGUGAGUGUUAUCCUUAAUAUUCUAUAUCAAAUAUUUUCUUAUAAAUCUUUACUAAUUUGAGUUAAUGAUUUUGAUUCAAAAUGAUUUCUAAAAGAGAUUUAUAUGAAAAAGUGUUAUAAUGUUCAAAGCAUGAUUUGAUCUUAAUGUUUACGAUAUAGUUUGCAAAUCAUUAGUUACUUCUUUUGAAUAAGCUAACUUUUAUGUUCACACAAAGAGUUAAAUGUCACCAUGAGUGUAUGGAACUGCGUGGUGAAGAAGCUAGCUUAUGCGUUGAAAGAAGCGUAUAAUGUUUAGUGGUCGAGCAACAAGGACUAAUCAUGACACUCUCAGAUGUUGAUAAAAGAAGCGUAUAAUGUUUAGCGGUCGAGCAACAAGGACUAAUCAUGAUACUCUCAGAUGUUGAUGAUUCAAUAGUCUAAACGCGAAGUUAUGUGAUCUAGCAUAGAGAGUGAUUUGGGAUCCUUGACAAAAUGAUUUGUUAAGCGUCGAGAGUUAUUUUAUGUAUAUUUUUUAUUUAUUGAAUUUUUCCUUUUUUCAAUCAUGCACUAUUUUGUUCGAUUCCAAUUCAAUUUAAAUUAAAUAAAAUUGUUAAAAGCUAAACAACCAAAUUACUAAAUAAUUAUAUAGAAUGCCAAAUUAAAAUUAAAUAUAUUAUAAUUAAAUGUUACAUUGUCUAACAAUUUCGAACGCUUGAAAAAAAUUACAUAGAAAUAAAUACACAUUUAUCUCAAUAUGGCCAUGGACGCCGUAAUACUAUAGGUCCACUCCUACAAUGACACAAAAUUAAAUUUAGAUAUAACCGAAUGAUACAGAGUAAACAACGGUAAAAUUAAAAAAUAUGUAUCACACCCUCUAAUGAGUCUCAAUUUGUGUUCAUACAUCUAUUGUAUGGACACCUUAUUCGUCUAUAAGCAUCAACAUGAAACUUGACAAUCUUUAAAAAAUGGGACACUCCCUCUCUAUACUCAACCAAAAACUUAUUUCUAACUUUUAUCCAACUAUUAUCCAUCGUUAAAGACCUAAGACAUAAAUAUGUUUGAUUAGUGGCAUAUUCCUUCUCUCAAACCCUAAUCUUAAGUUAUUACUCCAUGAAGAAACUUUGUCUAAUCCCCAAAAUUUUCACUCAAGCUAAGUUUAAACUACAAAUGAUCAAACAUAACUGCAUGAUAACCAAAACAAAUUAACCCCAAAAAACUACUAAUAAAUUCAAAACUAAGUUUAAUUUGCACCAAAGAGGCUACCAUAACUACAAUAUAGUCAUACGAAAUCAACAACAAACUAUUUCAAUCUUUACAAGCUACCCAACAAACAAAACAACUAAGAAAUAAACAAUCCCCCCCCCCCCCCCCCCCCCAAUACAAUCCCCUCAAAUUUUCAAUUCAAUCUUUCCCCUCUCAAAUUUUCAAUUCAAUCCCAAAUUCAAAUUCAAUCUAAAAUUAAUUUUUAAAACCAAAAAAUACUUAAAAUUCAAAAUCCACACCAAAACUAAAUCAAAAAACUAUUUCAAAAUCUAAAUCAAAAAACUAUUUCAAAAUCUAAAUCAAAAUAUACACCAAAAUCUAACAUAAAACUAAACUACCUACUAGAAUUAGUAGAUGUGGUGGCACACGACGAAAGAAUGAUGGCAGGGACGGCAACAUGACAGACAUGACAAACUCUCUUCUUCUUGGUCUCUCUCAUUUUCCAAAGGGAAACUCCCAACAUAUAAUGAAAACAUCGGGAUAACCCCAUUCUCGACAUCAUUCGUCCAACGUCGAUGGUAAAUCUCCAAUAUACCAAUGCAUUACUAAUGACGUUGAGAAUUCGAAUCUAGAUUCUCAAUGCCAUACAGGACAUGUCAGAGGAAAGUUAAUAUAUAUUUAAUUCUUUCACCUAUGUUGACGUCAGACGUUUAUGUUAGUCACGUCAGGGAUGGGCCACAUUUGUCCGACGUCAGAAGAACGAUGUCGGAAUAAAGAAUUUCUUAUUUCCAAGGAAGAUCUCUCUUCAAUCUUCAUUUUUUGAAUAACAUAAGUUUGCCUUUUUUUUAUCCAUGUGAAUAUGAAUAUAAUUAAAAAUUGAUUUAACUGAAAUGGUUGAUUGCAGAUAAUAAACUUGAGCGGUAAUAGGUUAAAUUGAUAGUUUAAGCCUCAAGGUGUUAUAUUGCAACAAAAACCACAUAAUUUAACGGUGGUUUGUGCAAUUUUCCAAAAAUCUAAUGUUCUUGACAAAUAUUUUGAAUUGAAUUUCAUAGGUUGAAUGAAGCUUUUGAAUUCUUUCAAAUUAAGAAUUCGAUCCUUCCGAAAAAGGAGAGAAUCCUCGAAAAAGUUAUUGUUGAAAAAAAUAAUAUUAUUAUCCCAAAUUAAAUGAGAACUUUAAAUCUUCUUAAAGAGAUCAAAUCAUCAAACAUCAAGAAUCAUAUCUCAUCACAAAAAGUAGGUAAAAAAAGUUUGUUCAAUUUCAAAUAAGUCAAAUUGAAAAUGUUUAUAUGAAACAAUUUACUGUUAAUUCCCUAGUUUAGUUUUAUUUAGCUGCACAAUUUACCUUUAGGUUUUAACUAGAAGAAAUUUUAAUAUAUUUCACCAUACAAGAAAAUUCUUACAAUUAUAAAAUCUCUAUAAUAUAAAAAAGAUUUAUAAAAUCUAUAACUCAGACUUGUUACUUUUACAAAAUAGUGCAAAAUAAGCUAAGUUCAUCGAAUGUCAAAAAUAUACAAUACAUCUAAUAUAUAAGAUACACAACUGAUAUACAUUCAAAAAACUUUAUAUACUACAAAAUGUCAUAGAUUAUCUCUGUAACAAAUGAAAAAAAAAAAAAAUGUAUGCCACAGCUUGAAUAUCCUAUUCUUUGUUAUUUGUCAACCACCACAAAUUUUCAUAAAAGAAUAUUGGAUCGUCCACUGAAAAGAAUAAAUAACCAUAGUGCUAGCUGAAAUUUGUAAAGUCUUCAAAUAAGUCAAUAAAACACACAUGGGGUUUGUAUGUGUAAUUAAUGAGAAAGUAGAACAACUUAUUGAUACAUAUAGAAGUAAAAGCCAAAUACAUAACUAAUGAAAGGCAAGAUAAAAUAAAAGGGCAAAUUGAAAGUAAAGUAUUUAGUGAAGGGAAUUAACAAUAAGUUUGAAAUCAUGAAGAAACAUAGCUCCAUCUCCAUCCCCAUCAAUCGAAGCCACAAUAGCCAUGGAAUCCUCAAGUGAAACAUCCAACCCUAAAUUCACAAACACAUCAUAAAGCUCUUCCCCACUCACAAGAUCAUCCUCAUCUGCCUUUAGAGCCUCAAGAGCAAUCUUCAAGUAGCUACCCAACUCCCCAACAUCCAUAUUCUUUGCAUUCAUCUCUAAGAACUCCCCCAUGCUUAGCAGCCCGUCUUUGUCGGCGUCACCUUCC
rnacentral:lncRNA from 1 species